rnacentral:rRNA from 1 species
UGGGGAAUAUUGGACAAUGGGGGGAACCCUGAUCCAGCCAUGCCGCGUGUGUGAAGAAGGCCUUAUGGUUGUAAAGCACUUUAAGCGAGGAGGAGGGUACUGGUAUUAAUACUACCAGCUACUGGACGUUACUCGCAGAAUAAGCACCGACUAACUCUGUGCCAGCAGCCGCGGUAAUACAGAGGGUGCGAGCGUUAAUCGGAUUUACUGGGCGUAAAGCGUGCGUAGGCGGCUAAUUGAGUCGGAUGUGAAAUCCCCGAGCUUAACUUGGGAAUUGCAUUCGAUACUGGUUAGCUAGAGUGUGGGAGAGGAUGGUAGAAUUCCAGGUGUAGCGGUGAAAUGCGUAGAGAUCUGGAGGAAUACCGAUGGCGAAGGCAGCCAUCUGGCCUAACACUGACGCUGAGGUACGAAAGCAUGGGGAGCAAACAGG